AUAAAUAACAAAAUGCUUUUACAUAACAGUAACUGGGGAAAUGGUGUGCUGGGAGACAGAUUAUGGCCACAGAACAUUAUUAUUAAUUUAUGUCAUGACUUCAGAAGUACCAUGUAACAUUAGGUUGGACAGGAGCACCAGAGUUAAGAAGAAAAAAAGCUUUCAGAUCAGACUUCAGUAAUAAGUAUGUGCACCCACUGUGUAGCUGAUAUACUUCGGCGACAAUGAAAGCCAUGGUGCAUCCAAGUCAAUCCCAGGUGCAACCAAAACAAAACCCCACUGGAACUGUUUCAAGGAUGCAGACCUGGCAAGCAGAAAGGGAGAAGGCUGGUUACCUCCCAGGUGUUUUGGAUCUGCAGUGUCUUACAGCAGGGGCAAGUUCUUCUACAGAGGGAACCACUCUUCAUAUACAAACAAAGUCCGAGGAACCUACGAGUUCUUGUGGCAGCAUUAACACUUUGAUUCCUGACAUUGUGGCAGAGCACCUAGUUUUACACUGAUCAGAGACAUAUCUGCCCACUCUGAGGACUGCUAUUCAAACAGAAGAAAUGCAGCAUAGCUUUUCCUCUGAGGUACAGCCACAAGCAAAGGAAGUGAUCCACUUCAUAACCUCCUAAGCACAGACACUCUUUCAGAUAUGUAAAGUAGUGGUGCUGUUGGGAAAUGGACAUGUUCACAUAAAACACAUGGUUGCAUUCUGUCCUCUUGAUUUCUUCCACUUAUAGUGAGAACUGCAAUUGGAUCGUAACACUGCCUGAAAUAUAUUGGUUACUGAUGAGUCAUGCCACUGAAAAAGGGCUGCUUACAUCAUGUUACUCCACUGCUACUCUAUUACUCUCUUGCUACCAUGUUCUUAUGAUGAAGGGUUGUUGUGCCAGGCCUUUGGGAGGAAAGUCUGGAGAUGAGAUGUGAAUGCAUUUAAUAAAGAAGCCCAGAUACCAGAAAUAGGUUUUUCA
rnacentral:lncRNA from 1 species